rnacentral:misc_RNA from 1 species
AAAUUACUACGCUUGACCUUUGACCUAUGUGUAUUCUGCAUGAUUUUGCAUCAUUUUGGGAGUAUAUCCCUGACUGAUCAUGUACAUUCUACCACGUCUCUGUUCCCGCCAUCUGAGACAAGUUCUUCAGAAGUCUUGUAGCAGGAACCUGUCCACUUCCUCCCAGAAUGUGCCUCAUGUUUGUAUAGUGGGAAGUGGGCCAGCAGGAUUCUAUACAGCACAACAAAUUCUAAAGGGCCAUCCAGCAGCAAAGGUGGACAUUUUAGAAAAAUUGCCUGUGCCGUUUGGUUUGGUGAGAUUUGGUGUGGCCCCUGAUCACCCAGAGGUCAAGAAUGUGAUCCACACUUUUACCAACACUGCAAGAAAUAAGAGGUGUACAUUUCUGGGGAAUGUGGAUGUUGGAAAAGAUGUGUCCAUUGAGGAGCUCCAGGGGGCCUACACUGCUGUUGUUCUGGUGGGUCUGACAUGUAUAUAACUGCAUUGGUAUACACAAGCGGAGUGUCAAAUAGUAAAUGUUUAAUUAGUUUCUGAAGUUAAGGAUUCUUCCUCUUUCAGGCUUAUGGUGCAGAUGAUGACAGAACACUUGCCAUUAAAGGGGAGAAAAACCCCAAUGUGAUCUCUGCAAGGUCCUUUGUGGGCUGGUUCAAUGGGCUGCCACAGGACAGAGAUCUGAAUGUGGAUUUAGACACAGAGAAUGUGGUUAUAUUGGGUCACGGCAAUGUGGCUCUGGAUGUCGCUAGAAUUCUUCUUACACCGAUCAGUGUUCUAAAGAAAACAGAUAUAUCACAGCAUGCACUGGAUGCCUUGACCAGAAGUCGGGUUAGGAAGGUGUAUCUGGUGGGUAGGCGGGGUCCCCUACAAGUGGCCUUUACCAUCAAAGAGAUUAGAGAGAUGAUCAAACUGCCGAACUGUCGACCAGUCAUACACAAAGACGACGUUAAAGAUCUCAACAAGGUCAUUGAAGACUUGCCCCGUCCAAGGAAGCGACUGACAGAUCUUCUGUACAGAACUAGUAUGGAGCCCUCGGACACAGACACCCAGCUGUGGGCCCAGGCCUCAAAGGAAUGGGAGCUCAGGUUCAGACUCACCCCUGCUGAGGUCAUCGAGACAGAGGGCAAGGUCACAGGGGUCAAAUUCUACAUCAAUGAACUACAGGGAGAUGAUCUUGUCAAUAAAAUAGCCAAGGUAACCUCAGAGACAGAAGACAUUCAGUGUGGAUUGGUUUUCAGAAGCAUUGGAUACAAGAGUAUACCCAUAGAUCCAUGUUUGCCAUUUGAUGAGAGAAAAGGAAUUAUCCUAAACAAGAAGGGAAGAGUUGAGAAUAGACCAGGUCUGUACUGUAGUGGUUGGGUCAGCACUGGACCAGUGGGGGUUAUUCUGAACACAAUGACAUGGGGGUUUGAGACAGGGAAGGUCAUCCUAAAGGACAUAGAAGAUGGUGCUAUCAGCUCAGAGGGAAAACACGGGAAUCAGAUUAUCAAGGACAAAAUGCUCUCAAAAGGUAAACAACUGGUGACCUUUUCUGAGUGGGACAAGAUUGACUUAGAAGAAAUGAAGCGGGGAGCGGAGGUGGGGAAGCCAAGAGAAAAGAUCAUCCAGAUCUCAGAAAUGCUCAAAGUGGCCAGUUCUUGAAAGAAGACAAUGACCAAAUGAUUUUCUUUUCAAAAUUCAGGAAUCUCUGUUUAUUUCAUUUGUAAGAGAUGUCGGCUAAUCUAGUCAAGUUCUGUAUAAAUUUUGAUUUGUUUGUUAGGUCUGCCAGUGGACAACAAAAGUCCCAAUAAAUAUUACAGAACUG